CGUAGCGGUAAAAAUGUUUCAGCUUUGAUAGAGCGCAGCGCCGGUAACGAGGAGCGCGAGGACUCGUCGAGUCACUUCUCCUGGGUGCUGAAGCAGCUCGUGCAGGAGAACAUACCGGGCCUGCCACCGGGUGGCGGGCUGGCUGCCAAGCAAUCACUGCUGGAUAAAAUAUACAGGGAGUUCUAUCCGGACCACAUCGACAGCUCGGAGACGUUCGACUGUCAGACGGAACUGGCCGACGCGUUCAGCGCUAACUAACGCAUAACCUUACGUUCUACACUAACUCACGGGACGAGCUCGCACACAGCGCGCCACCACACGACACCCGCGACAUCUGUGUCGCCGUCAAAUUACUAUUGUUUCAUUAGUUUGGUAAGUAACUUUAGGAAACUUUCUUUUGUACUAGUGACACUCACUAAAUUAAUUGUAAUUUCAACAUAUCAAACCAAAGCUUAUUUUCAAAUAUAAGGACCAGGGAAGAUAUAGAAUACGUUUUUAUUUUCGCUUUCCCAUCAUCAGAGUGUACUCGCCGAGUGUGCGGUUUCGUCCCAAAAUUAGCUGAAUACAUCAUACUAGAAUAAAUUAAAUGGAAUUCUAGUUACAUUACUUUAGAAUUUUGAACGUUGGUAACAUUUCAUUUUGUACAUAACUGUCUCGAAUGUUGGGUAAUGUAGUUGGAAUUUUGUUUGAUUCAGUCAAUACUUGGUGCUUCGGCUGUGUUGACGCGUCGGUUCUAAUGUACGCGGGAGACCCCUUAUUAUAUCUAGUAUGUAACUUUAUUUCUUGUAUUGACUAUAACACGCAGGUGACGUGUUCAGAGAAAACGUAAAUAAAUUAAGCCCUGUCUCUGUCUAAUAAAAUUCCUCGUGUCUUUAUCACGCGACAUCUUCAAUUGUGAGUGAACUGACUACUGAACAGAGCCGAAGCAUAUUGGUAUCCUAAAAUGCAUAUUAUACUAUGUAAUACUCUUUAGGCUGUGGUAUGGCCUUCAGAAUAAAUGUUUAUUAUAAUAAAACCUUCUUCGUUUUGCCUCACCACAGCCCCUCACUUGUAUCACACGGCACAAAAUUCAUUAUUUCCAGCCAUGUUAUACUGUUACCCAGCCGGAUUGAAUAUACCCAUCCCUACGGAACUUUCAUUUGUACUGCAAACAUUUAUUUUUGUCGCGUUACAAUUUUAUUUUGUGUAGCUUAGAUUAUUUUGUUUCGUGUUAACAUUGGCCAUUCGUGAAUGUCAUAAUAUUAGAUGUAUAAUAUUAGAUUUUCGAUUGGAUGUAAUAGAAGUCUACGAUACAGUUUCCUGUGUGAGCGGUUCAAUGUUUUACUUUAUGUUCUGGCGCUUAACAUUUUGUUAAGAACUUUACACACGAUUUAUCUAAACUUGGUGUCUAGAGAAAAUUAUUUGUCAGUAGCAAAAUUUCCUAAAUGUCAGUGUUAAGCUUGUAAUAGCUAAUUGAAAAUGGCCAGUCGGAUUUAGUGUAAUCUUAUGUUCCAUUUCACAUGAAAGCCUAAGUAAAAUUGGUUAAAUAAUUUCUCAAUUCUAAUAAUAAAUAUCUAGUUUCAUUUUUGUACAUAUUUUUUUCUUUAUUACAACAUACAUAGUCAUUAUCCAAAACGUCAAGUAACCUUUAUUGAUUUAAAAGUAUAAAGUAGAGUUAUUAAUCGGGAAUUGGAAUAUGGGGUACUAUUAAUUGUUAGUUUUUUAUUUCUUAAAAAUUAUUGUACUUCGUUUCGUGUUACAGAAAGUAUGAAAUUAGAUUUAAUCGCUUUUUAAAAGUUACGCGUUAUCUAAAGAAAUAUUGGGUAUGCUUUUAAAUUUUUGCUUCGUACUUAGAUGAGGAACGUAACUAAUCAGUUGAUACGCGUAGUCUGUUGCCGUACAAUAUAACUAAUUAGACCGAAUUCCAUUUUGUCAUAUAUUGUUGUUACCAAAUUCUAUGUGUCCUAUUCAUUUCUGAUAUUCACCUCUUGUAAAUAAAAGAGAAUAGAAAAAAUACUUUUGUACCUGUUUGUGCGGUUUAGCUUGUAACUAACUAAUUGUGAGGAGUUUAUCGUGUCGGUACUCGUGGAAAUACAUAUAACGUCAUCACAAUCCUCGUUUUAUAUCGAUUGUAUUAGAUUUAGUUGCCGCUUUGCGUUCUGUUGUAAGUCGCGAUGAGAAUUAUUACUUAUUGCUGUAUUAUUGUAAUGCGGUCUCAAAGUGAUCGACCAAAUUCAUAGUAACAUUAAGUAUAUUGGAGUAUCUAAAAUUAAAUAUGUUGUAUGUAUUUCCAGCGCCUGAUACAAUAAUGUAACUAAAUAGUUUUUACUGAACAAAAAUAUUUCAAAGGUUUUCAAAUGUGACGUAGGAGGCAUUGUUUUAGUACUUAUAUCUUACGAUUGAAGUAAUAACAACCUAAUAUUAUAAUACUAUUAUGUUUCUAUUUACAAAUGGUACUUGUGUACUCCUUCAACAAUGUCUUCUCGCCCUCGACCCUUUUGCAGUCGGGGCAGGUAUGAGAAUAGUACAUUUGUAAAUUCGAACGAUCUUAAUUGAAAAUUCAAACCAUAUCUAAAUUAGUUUAAUAUAUUACGAAAUAAAAAUACAGAAAUUGUUUCCUAGAUAUAAAAUAAUAAUUAUCUACUUUAUUGGUGGUAGCAAAGCUAUUGCGACUUUAUGAUUAUUUUAAUCUUGUGCAAGACAGCAGAAUACGUAUUAGUAAUAUUGUCCUACUAAGUAUAGCCUGUAGUACAUUGUCAAGGACGUGGUCACACGCCGCCGCUGAAGUUCUCGGGUGAAUAAUAUGGUCGUGUUAUGCUGCCUUGCGUUAGUGAUUCGCUAUGACCCCAAAUUUGUCAUUUGAUAUUGCUUCCAUCAAAUUAUUUUCUAUAUUUUUACCAAAAUAUUUUUAUUACCCUUUUCAACCCAUUGUCGAGGUUAACGUUGCGUUCUUGUAUUGUCAUAUAAAUUGUGUUUUUGUACUGUGUUUUAGAUUUGAAUGCCAAUUCAAAAUGUGCCUUUGAUACUAGCUUAUCGAAUGUCCCGUCGACACGGACGUUGGUGUCAUGGGCCCCCUUCUGUCCUCACGCGACGGUUGCGUUCCACUUGAUUAUCCAUUAUUUUCUUAAUUAAACCAAAUAUUAAUGUUAGACAGUGGGUUUUGAAUUGGAUUUUAAUGUCCAUCCGGGACGUGUAUCAUCUGUUGUUUUUUAUUUGCUUUCGGACGAAAGUCGACGUCUCACAGUGUGUCUCGUUAUAUCUAGUAGACGCUUGAACAAUAAAUACCUGUACCUUGACAACAUAUUUUUUAUUUUUCUUUUAUUUUGUUAGGCCCCGCUUUUGUGGUUUUAGCAGUGUGUAGCUUUUUAGGGUAUAGCUGUUAAUUGCUGGCUGCCUAACCCCAUUUUGACUUGAACACAGAGUUUAUUACUAUGACUGAAAUACUCAAAAUGUAUUCAAGUCUGCCUACAAGAAUCUCGAAAUGUCAAGUCUAAUGGACACACCCUGCAAUUAAGGCCUACUCGCUCUAUUUUGCCCUAGUACACGUUUUAAUAUUCUUUACAUUAUUAUUUUGGCGUAGACAAUAUAAAGCUUACUUAUCUGUGUACAGUAAGUGGACUCGAAAGUGUAAUUUGUAUGAUAUUAAAGUUUAUAGUGUCAAUAAGGGAUAUUUUUGAAUGGAUUCUUAACUAUCUACACACACACCUUCGGAGUAGCUUAGUGUUUAGGUAACAUGGAAAUAAAUUAUUUAUAAUGUGUA